CAAUAUAAUUACUGAUUUAUCAUCUCUUGCAAAAAAAAAUAUUAAUUUUUUUUAUUCAAGAAGAUGAAUAUUGCAAUUCUUUUGGAUUCAUCCAGGUGUCUGAUCAUUCAAAAAUACAAUAAGAAUGAUAUAAAAAGUGUCAAAAUUAUUGUUGAAAAUAUUUCAUGCUUGAGGUUGAUAUGCAAUUAUGGCUGAAUUAGAGAUCGAGGAAUUCCAUAUAAAUAACAUAAAUCCCAAGAUAUGCAUAACCUAAUGGGUGUAGAUUUUUGUGUUAAUGGAGAAAUUCCUCCAUUCUGUUACUACUGCUAUCCAUAGCAAAGAAGAAUGAAAAAAAGAAUCUUUCUGUUCGUUCCUCUUUUUUAAUUUUUUUUUUUGAUGUAUGAAUUUUUUUAUGUGUAUAACUUCUUUUUGUUGUAGUUUCUUCUUUAUUAAUGAUUGCCCACUCUCUUUAUUAUUAUUGUUACUUGUAUUUUGAAGGAAGAAAAAAUGAUGUUCUAUUAUUUAUAAUGGAGGAGGAAAAAAUGUGUUAAACCUUAA
rnacentral:lncRNA from 1 species